rnacentral:SRP_RNA from 1 species
GCCGGGCGUGGUGGCGCGCGCCUGUAGUCCCAGCUACUUGGGAGGCUGAGGCUGGAGGAUCGCUUGAGCCCAGGAGUUCUGGGCUGCAGUGCGCUAUGCCGAUCGGGUGUCCGCACUAAGUUCGGCAUCAAUAUGGUGAUCUCCCGGGAGCGGGGGACCACCAGGUUGCCUAAGGAGGGGUGAACCGGCCCAGGUCGGAAACGAUAAAGCCUGCAAUUUUAAUUGUCAAGUUAUGGAUGUAUGUUAUUCAGACAGUAAAUAAAAGUACAAAAUAGAGGAGUACUGUGUGUAUUAUUCAGCUAUGU